GGAGGAUUCGACUAGCGGCCUAUGUCACACGCCUGGAACGCGUGCGGGGUUAACGCCCCUCAAGGGUUCAAAUCCCUUAUCCUCCGCCA
rnacentral:tRNA from 1 species